AUAAGAGCUCUGGCCAAGUUCAUUUGUUCUCAGUUCCUCUCUGCUGGGUGGACAUUAGGGUCAGGUGGACUGAAGUACUGCUGAGAGACUGCUGGAGUCAGUGUGUGUCCACAGUGGUAGUGGAGUUCUGGGUGUAUAGUGGUCAGUGUGUGCUGUGAGGAGAUCUGUGUACUCAUAUCACACCUGAAUGAGGAGGAUGAGGGAGACUACAGGUGUAAUAUUAAUGGGGGUGAAUACACAGACAUGAAACUCACUGUUUCAGUGAGGGAAGUACCACCUGGAGUGACAUAUCC